UACGUAGGGGGCCAGCGUUGUUCGGAAUUACUGGGUGUAAAGGGUUCGUAGGCGGUGCGGCAAGUUGGGAGUGAAAUCUCUGGGCUUAACCCAGAGGCUGCUUCCAAAACUGCUGUGCUUGAGUGUGGGAGAGGCGCGUGGAAUUGCAGGUGUAGCGGUGAAAUGCGUAGAUAUCUGCAGGAACACCCGUGGCGAAAGCGGCGCGCUGGACCACUACUGACGCUGAGGAACGAAAGCUAGGGGAGCAAACAGG
rnacentral:rRNA from 1 species